rnacentral:rRNA from 1 species
ACKGCUCAGUAACACGUGGUCAAUCUACCCUGAGGACGGGGAUACCUCCGGGAAAACCAGGUGUCUUUUCCUGGUCCCGAAACUGGAGUCAAUACCCGAUAGGUGAAGAGGUCUGGAAUGCCUUUUAACCCAAACGGCGUUAGCGCCAUGUCCGUUGACGUCGCCUGAGGAUGGGACCGCGGCCGAUUAGGCUGUUGGUGGGGUAACGAUCGGUGGCCCUCAACUUGUUGCUGAGGGAGUCGAUUACAAGCCCACCAAACCGAUAAUCGGUACGGGCCGUGAGAGCGGUAGCCCGGAGAUGGGGACUGAGACAAGGCCCCAGGCCCUACGGGGCGCAGCAGGCGCGAAACCUCCGCAAUGCGGGAAACCGCGACGGGGCUACUCCGAGUGCCAUCCGCUAAGGGUGGCUUUUCCACAGUGUAAACAGCUGUGGGAAUAAGGGGAGGGCAAGGCUGGUGCCAGCCGCCGCGGUAAAACCAGCUCCUCGAGUGGUUGGGAUGUUUAUUGGGCCUAAAGCGUCCGUAGCCGGCCCGAUAAGUCCUUGGCUAAAUCCGUCAGCCUAACUGACGGCGUGCUGAGGAUACUGUUGGGCUUGGGGGCGGGAGAGGCUGAGGGUACUACUGGGGUAGGGGUGAAAUCCUAUAAUCCCAGUAGGACCACCUGUGGCGAAGGCGCUCAGCUGGAACGCGCCCGACGGUGAGGGACGAAAGCUAGGGGAGCGAACCGGAUUAGAUACCCGGGUAGUCCUAGCUGUAAACUAUGCGGGCUAGGUGUUAGAGCGGCCACGUGCUGCUCUAGUGCCGAAGGGAAGCCGUUAAGCCCGCCGCCUGGGGAGUACGGCCGCAAGGCUGAAACUUGAAGGAAUUGGCGGGGGAGCAC